GGAAUGUGGCUCAGUGGUAGAGCACUUGCUUAGCAUGUGCAAGGCCCUGGUUUCAAUCCCUAGCACCA
rnacentral:tRNA from 1 species